GGAAUUUUGCGCAAUGGGCGAAAGCCUGACGCAGCAACGCCGCGUGGGUGAUGAAGGUCUUCGGAUCGUAAAACCCUGUCGUCAGGGACGAAGGUUGUGUUCCUAAUAGGGAUGCAGCUUGACGGUACCUGGAGAGGAAGCCCCGGCUAACUCUGUGCCAGCAGCCGCGGUAAUACAGAGGGGGCAAGCGUUAUUCGGAAUUAUUGGGCGUAAAGGGCGCGUAGGCGGUGGUUUAAGUGAGAUGUGUAAUCCCCGAGCUUAACUUGGGAACUGCAUCUCAGACUGGAUCGCUAGAGUGCUGGAGAGGGUGGUGGAAUUCCACGUGUAGCGGUGAAAUGCGUAGAGAUGUGGAGGAACACCAGUGGCGAAGGCGGCCACCUGGACAGUAACUGACGCUGAGGCGCGAAAGUGUGGGGAGCAAACAGGAUUAGA
rnacentral:rRNA from 1 species